GUAAGUUUAAGGUGUGCAGUAUCAUGAUUUGACUUGCAUCUGUGGGACUUACUUUAACGAACCAGCUGCAGACCCAGGGCCUCGCUCGGGCCUCUCCAUGGUGGUGCCUUUCCACAGUUCUCCCUCGAAGCACUGCGAACCCCAUUUGUGGCACAGAAAGCCCCUGACUUCACACUCAGAAACCCACAGGCUGUGUCUCUCUGCUGCUCUGCCUCCCCUGCCCAGCCAGCUAGUGACUCAGCCAGGCAAAGAUACCUAACAGCUGGGCCCACCUCUUGGUGGGUGCUGAGCCAAUAGACACAACCAAGCCAAAAAUCGGGAGGAAGAAGGAUUUAUUCCUCAGAGCAAAUAGGAAGAACCCUGGGGAUCUCUCCCAAAGCAGGGUCUCCCCAAACAGCAAAUUUGGGGACGUUUUAAGCUAAGGGUAGAUGCUGAGGUGUGAGAGGGCUUGAGUAGAGAAUUCAGCACAGAACUGGGGCAAAGGUCGACAGAGUCCAGGCUCAGUGGGUUGAACUCGCAUCCUCUACCUGGUGGGGCCACGGCUCCUGCAGAGCUCGGUCGUGUAUCCUUAUGUGAGCUUUCCCCGGUGGUCCGGUGGAGUCCCCUCCUCCGCUGCAGGGGGAUUGCCUCUGAUCCCCGGUUGGGGAAAUAGCAUCUAACAAGCUGCUUGGUGAGGUAAAAAAAAAAAGUCCUGUUCCUGUGUAAAUCCCUGGAGGAACCGACCGCCCCGAGGCUGCCCUAUUGUUUCUGGCCUUCUCCUCCCUCAUUUCUGCAUUUUCUCCCGAAAUGUUGAGUACUUUGCACACAUUAUUUUAUUGGAAUAAGGCGUUGUUCCUUCCAGGAGACGGAAGCUCAGAGAGGUGGAUCGAUUAAGGAGGAGCCAUCUUGUAGGAAGCGUGUCUGUGGUGAUCUUGCAGGAAUAAGCCCCCAGGGGCGGGACCCUGGUGGUCGAUCACGUUUGUAGACUGCAUGAGGCCUGGCCCAGCCCCAGGGACGUCCCGCCAGGCUCCUCUGUCUACAGGAUUCUCCAGGCAAGAAUUCUGGAGUGGGUUGCCAUGCCCUGCUCCAGGGGAUCUUCCUGACCCAGGGAUCAAACCGGGGUCUCCUGCCUUUCGGGCGGAUGCUUUACCGUCUGCGCCGCAGGGAAGCCGUCACCGCAGCUUCUUAAACCGAUUGUCUGUUGAUGGGCACUCGGUUGUUCCCACUUCUUGACUGCUACAGAGAGUGCUUCUAUGACCAUUGGGGUGGGACCCCGCUAUUUUAAAGACAAGGAGACCGAGGGGAGACGAGGAAAGAGACUGAGGUCAGGGCCGCGGCAGUGGUGUCGUGAUGGAGGCCACGUUCCAGACCAGCUGCUGGGCUCGGUCCUUGCGGUGUCGCAGCGGACCCCCGUCCUUCACCUCCCGACAGUCUCCUCACCUUUAGAAUGGGCGCGCUGCUGCGGCUGGCGCUUGCUGGAGGCAUGUGGGUGAGCUGCCCUGCCCAGCAAUACUGAGCAGCAAAUGUCAGCAAAUUAGGAACCCACAAAACCAUGACACAGAGCCACAUGGUUCUCAAGACUCUGUCCAGACAGUGUUCCUUCUCUGAGCUCACCUGGUUUGGAAGGGGAUGAGAAAUGCAGCCAGGAAUUGGCCAUCCUCAGGGAUUGCUUAGAGCAGCGGUACUCAAAUCUUAGCAUCACUUGCGGUGGGUGGGGUGAGGUGGUGGGAAGCUUAUUUGGUAACCUGCAUUUCUAGCAAGUUCCCAGAUGACAAGGUGCUGCCAGCUCCCCCGGCUCAUAGACCAGUACGACCUCUCCUUCUCCAGAUGGUUAACGGCCUCCCGCAAGCUUGUGGCUUUACUUCUACCUGCUUGGCCCUGGGAUUCCUCUUCUGUCCUUAUGUACAUUUCCAUGUGUGGUUCUCAUCUUUCUGGACUCACUAAUACCUUAUCAUUCUGUAAGAUAACAGCUCAGAUAACAUUUUCAGCUUUUUUAAAAAAAUCGUGGGCAGGAUGGCCUAUGCCAAUUGCCCUGGCCAAUUAAACCUAAAUUGUUUUGGCCUCCUGAAUCAGGCUACCCCAUUGCUCUGUGCAGAUCACCUCCUCCAGGAAGCCCUCCAGGACUGCUCAGACCCAGCAGGUGUCUCUUUUGAGCUGUCUGCUUACCACUCUCAUAAAUGCGCCAUUUCCUCUGAGGCGACUGUGCAUAAAGUCCACUUUGUCCCGGCAAGGAAGAUGCAUCCCCAGUCCACUUGGCGUUCUUUUCAUUUCAACCAGCAGAGGGCGGCUCAGUACCACAAUUCUACCCAGCUGGGUUCAGCCUUGGGGGUGAAUAACCCAGACCUUCCUGUCCUCAGAAGGCCUUGGGGUAAAGGGGAGGCGUUGAGACGACCUGGUUAUCUCAUCUGUGGUUAAGUGCCGGGACCUGGGUCCAGACAUUUCUAGCAGUGUGAUCCUGGGCUUUGUGACUCACCCAGCUGACCCUCAAUUUUCUCUCUGUAAAUCGGCUAUAGUAAUGCCCCGUGGAAGUUUCUGAACAUUGAAUAGAUUGGUCACAUGACUUGUUUAGCCCAGAGCCUGAGUCAGAUUUAGCACGUGCACGGGUGACUGUGGGCUAGUGAUUGCACCUCUCUGCACCUCAGUUUCCUCAUCUGUAAAAUGGGGAUAAUUUAAAGUACCCCCUUAUAGACUAUUGCCUCAGUUCCCU
ensembl:lncRNA